rnacentral:lncRNA from 1 species
GUUAUACAUGACAGUAGAAUGCAUUUAUGCACUUUGACAUAUCAUACAUAGAUAGGAUAUAAUUUCUCAUUUUUCUGAGUGUACAUGUUGUAGAAUUGUGUUGGUCAUGCAGUCGCAUAUAUACAUAAAGGAAUAAUGUCUGUUUCGUUCUACUAUCCUUAUCCCCACAUCCUCUCCCAUCCCAUCCCCUCCCUUCACUUUCCUCUACCUAAUCUAAGGUAACUCUAUUCUUCUCUAGUGCCCUCCCCUUAUUGUGAAUUAGCAUCCACAUAUUAGAGAAAACAUUCUGUCUUUGGUUUUUUGGAAUUGGCUUUUUUCGCAUAGCAUGAUAGCCUCCAACUCCAUUCAUACUGGUGAAUUCCAUAAUUUCAUUCUUCUUUAAAACUGGGUAAUAUUCCAUUAACUAUAUAUACCACAUUUUCUUUAUUCAUUUAUCUAUUGAAGGACACCUAGGUUGGUUCCUUAGUUUAACUAUUUGUGAAUUGAGCUGCUGUAAACAUUGGCAUGGCUGCAACACUGUAGUAUGCUACUUUUAAGUCUUUGGGGUAUACACCAAGGAGUGGGAUAGCUGGGUCAAAUGGUGGUUCCAUUCCAAAUUUUCUAAGGAAUCUCCAUACUGUUUUCCAGAUUGGUUGCACCAAUUUGCAGUCCCACCAGCAAUGUAUGAGUGUGCCUUUUUCCCCCACAUCCUCUAAUUAGAUCAUCCUAGACCCCGAGGACACUAUUACUUGUUUGGGUGUUUCCAUCUGGAAUUGCUGCUGAGACAUUCAUAGCAUUCUAGAUAUAGUUCUGAUUCUCUUACCACUACAUGAUGCUUUUUAGGUACCUAAGAACUUACAUAUUAAGGUUCAUAUUAUUUUAUUAUAAAUUAUUGUCCUUUUUCCCCUUGAAUAUAAACAGGAUACUUUACUGAUUUUUUUAAAUGUAUGUAAGUUUUUUAUGCUUGUAAGUUUUAUGCUUUUUAGUUCAAGACAGCUGUAUCUCUUAGCCAUUGCUGCAAAAGAAACAACCACACAACUUUGUAGUUUAAUACAACCACAAUUUAUGUAGUGUACAAUUCUGUGGAUUGGUGAUUUAAACUUGGGCCUCCUCUUUUUUGGAAGGGUUGGGUGGUAGCAGGGAUUGAACUCAGGGGCCCUUGACCACUGUGCCAUCUCCCCAGCCUUAUUUUGUAUUUUAUUUAGAGACAGGGUCUCACUGAGUUGCUCAGCACCUUGCUUUUGCUGAGUCUGGCUUUGAACUCACAAUCUCCU